rnacentral:tRNA from 1 species
GCGAGAAUAGCCAAGAGGUAAGGCGGAGGUCUGCAAAACCUUAAUCACGGGUUCGAAUCCCGUUUCUUGCU